UACGUAGGGGGCAAGCGUUGUCCGGAAUUAUUGGGCGUAAAGCGCGUGUAGGCGGCUAGAUAGGUCCGCUGUGAAAACUUGAGGCUCAACCUCAAGAGGUCGGUGGAAACCAUCUGGCUAGAGUCCGGAAGAGGAGAGUGGAAUUCCUGGUGUAGCGGUGAAAUGCGCAGAUAUCAGGAAGAACACCCGUGGCGAAGGCGGCCCUCUGGGACGGUACUGACGCUGAGACGCGAAAGCGUGGGGAGCGAACAGG
rnacentral:rRNA from 1 species